GUUAAAACUACCUUGUUGCUUUGGCGGGACCGUUCGGUCUCCGAGCGCAUUAACCUUCGGGUUGGUGAGCGCCCGCCAGAGUCCAACCAAACUCUUGUAUUAAACCAGUCGUCUGAGUAUAAAAUUUUAAUUAAAUUAAAACUUUCAACAACGGAUCUCUUGGUUCUCGCAUCGAUGAAGAACGCAGCGAAAUGCGAUAAGUAAUGUGAAUUGCAGAAUUCAGUGAAUCAUCGAAUCUUUGAACGCACAUUGCGCCCCUUGGUAUUCCGAGGGGCAUGCCUGUUCGAGCGUCAUUACACCACUCAAGCACUGCUUGGUAUUGGGCAUCGUCCGUCGAAAGGCGGGCGUGCCUCGAAGACCUCGGCGGGGUUUCUCCAACUUCGGGCGUAGUAGAGUUAAAUCAAAACGUCUUAUAAGCUUGGUGAGAUCUCAUUGCCGUUAAACCUUUUAUUUUUCAGGUUGACCUCGGAUCAGGUAGGGAUACCCGCUGAACUUAAGC
rnacentral:rRNA from 1 species